UACAGAGGGUGCAAGCGUUAAUCGGAAUUACUGGGCGUAAAGCGUGCGUAGACGGUUACAUAAGUCGGGUGUGAAAGCCCCGGGCUCAACCUGGGAAGUGCAUUGGAAACUGGCAGACUGGAGUCCCGGAGAGGAGGGUGGAAUUCCUGGUGUAGCGGUGAAAUGCGUAGAUAUCAGGAGGAACACCGGUGGCGAAGGCGGCCCUCUGGACGGUGACUGACGCUGAGACGCGAAAGCGUGGGGAGCAAACAGG
rnacentral:rRNA from 1 species